CUUUCACAUAUUUGUUUUAGAUUUUUUUGAUGGUGUAAUUUGUUAUUAAAGAAACGACUCUUUUCACUCAGGCCCCAAGAGUUACUGUGUUAGAAAUGCGGCGCGUGCGUCGGUCUGGCUUCUGAUACUGGUCUCACUCCCCAUCGGACAAGGCUGCACAGAGGAAGAGUUGGAAUAAAGCACUGAUAAGUGUUGUGCCCAGUGUCCGGUUGAAGGAGAGAUGGUGGAAAAGUGCUGUUCCUCCAAGAAUACUGCUGAAUGAACCUACAAGGAUGGAUGCGUCAACACAGACCCCAAUGGACUAAGCUGCCACACACAUGUUCUUCAUGUGACGUCUGUAAAAUGCAUACCUCCACCUCUCCGGGCUCUCCUCAACCUGCUCCCUACAGAUCACAAUGUCAUCUGCGAACAUCAUAGUCCAU